rnacentral:lncRNA from 1 species
UAAGAAGGAGCCUUGGGAACUCCUGCGGCAAUUUUUAAUUGAGUGAUAUGACCAUAUUUACAUCUUAGGAAUCCGAGCUUUGGAGGUGGCUCAAGAUAUGAUAUUGGGAAAUAGUUAGAAUUCAUGGUUAUUUUUACCUACACAGAUGUUGAAUUUUACUAAUGUCAGAUUGGCCGUGGACCGUGCCCAACACUUAUAAAGGAACACAUACACUGGCAGAAGUGCUUAGCAUUUGAAGUGGGAGUUUGAGGCAGAAAAAGGAGGAUUUAGAUAAUAUUGCAGUAUCCCAGAUGAGAAGAUUAAGGGUCUAAACAUUUCGUUGUUGGCCUUGUAAUGAGUGGUCUAAUUUAUCAACUGUCUCAUCUAAGGAUAAUCAUUUUAAGGACACUGUGUGCUUCUGGCUUGGCAGAGGGAGCGACUGUGAACUUGGGAGCGCAUGUCUACUGCUUUGACUUGAGUCUGGUUUCCAAUGUCUCAUGUGUUCAAAUUUAAGCCCUCAAAGGAAGGCUUUAAGUGGUCAGGGAUUUAAUCCAACUAUGGUAUUUAAAGGUGGAGCCUUUGAAAAGGAUUAGGACAAAUAAACUCCUCAAGAUUGAAUUGUGGUGGCUUUCUAAACAAAAAAAAAAAAGGUAGGAUCCAGGCGGUGGUGGCGCACGCCUUUAAUCCCAGCACUUGGGAGGCAGAGGCAGGCGGAUUUCUGAGUUCGAGGUCAGCCUGGUCUACAAAGUGAGUUCCAGGACAGAUAGGCUAUACAGAGAAACCCUGUCUCGAAAAACCAAAAAUCAAAAAAAGGUAGGAAAAGAGAUCAGAGAACACACAUGCAUGCAUGCAUACACAUACACACACACACACACACACACGCACACACACACACACACACACACACACACACACACACACACACACACAUACACAUAUACACACUCCUAGCCUUGUACCACAUGAUGCAUGAACUGCCUGGAUGUUCAUCAAAGCUACCAUCAGAUGUGAGCCCUUAGAACUUUAGAAGCUGUGGGCUAAAAUAUCUUAUUUUCCCACUAAAGGUUCAGUAUAGUGACAACAGCAGCAGAAGGACUGCUGUGUCCAUUCUUCCAUUUAACUGUUGGCCCUGGUAACUGUUGGUCCUGGUGGUUAGGUUCCAUCUUAUUUGUGCCUAUAUUGUAUUUACUCAGUCAUUCAAUAACCCAUCUACUCAUUCAUUCAUUCAUUCAUUCGACACUCUACUUUGACCUAUCUGCAGUUCUGGAAAGGACAAGAUACCAGAGGUCUUUGCCCUCCUGGGACCUGGGGCAACUUUAGUUGCAGUAGUACCAGAGAAAGCCUUUCUGAAAUCACUUGAGUUCUGAGUAUUUAGAGACAAUGGCCUUAUAAGAGACCAGUCACAGCGGUUUGCUUAAAGGACAGACGGUGUGAAGACCAGAGGGAAGAAAGACCUGUGUGGUGUGAAGAACAGAGAAGAGGCCUGUAUGACUGGCACCAGAUGAGCAAGAAGGAACAAUGUGGUUCUGGGUGGAGUGGACAGGCUGGCCCUGAACAUGGGCAGGGGUGAGUGGGAGGAGUCUUCUCAAUGGGAAGAUGGGAGAUGGGGAGACGAUGUAUUUUGAGUUAUACAUUCAAAGCCUGAGGGAGGGCGAUGUUUGGGGAAGAGUGGAGAAGCAGGUUAAGAGUUCAGUCUUAGAUGUUUUACACGUGAGAGGUAAUGUUUAGCCUGUUUUGUUUGCUUUGUUGAAUUCGUUGACGAUCCAGGCACUUCAUCUGAGUUUGUCUUACAGAAAUUCUGCAAAUAGAUACCAUGUACGAGACUGGGUCGGGUCCCAGGAGGAAGAAUAGAAAUCAGAUAUGUUUUCUAAGCGUUCAACACUCUGCACUGUGCAGGGUGCUGGCGGUUAAGCUUCUACCCUCCCUUCCCUCCACUCCCCACUUUUUCUCUUAUGGAUAUGGUAUUUUGUAUGCAUGUGCACAUUUGCAUGUGUGCAGGCACACGUGUGUGGGAGUAAAUGUGUAUGGAGGCUGUACACCGAUGGUGAGACUGUUGCUCACUCUUCCACUGUACUCCAUGAAGCAGGGUCUCUUAGUCACUACAGAGCUCGUCCACCUGACCAGACUACAAAUCUCUCUCACCAGAUUACUGUCUCUGCCUUCCAGGGCUGGAAUUGUGCUUUAACCACCAUGCCAUCUCCCUAGUAUCCAGCUGUCUAUGCUGGGCUUCAUGAUUCUGAAGUUAGGACACAGGCAACACCAUGCAUGUAUUGUCAGAUGCCUCUGUGAGACUUCCAAAAACAGAGCAAUUGCAGGAGACAGGAAGGAAGAGAUGGUUCCCCCUUUGUCUUAGUUCCAUUUCCUGUUGUCCUGGGAAAGUAUCCCGACAAAAAACAACCUCGUGGGG